AACUAUCUCCUAUCAAGUUUGUGUAUCGUGUACUUGUUCCUUUUUUUUUUUUUUUUUUUUUUGCCAUGUAGAGUCUUCUGAAAAUUGAAAACUAAUUUAUGAUCAUGUAGUUAUUAGCACAAUCACAAAAGAGGUCACUGGUCUUUCCUUUAAUUUCUGUCACAGGCUGCAGGCCGUAUUAUGCUAAAUCAAGGAUACGGGGAGAUAAUUAACAUAGCAACUCUGGCAAGUUUAAUAGGAUCUCACACACAGUGACAGCUAGCAGCGUCCCAAGUGUUGACAUUAUGACUUAGAGAUGUGAUAAAGAGAAACACGAACUGCGUUUUCUCAGCCUGAGCUAAGACAACAAGCCCCCCUGAUGAGGUUGGAAUUGACAAGUGGAUCAAUUUGGAGGUGCCCAUUCAUUCAUCUCUGUUUUAUGCCCACCAGAGGGGCAUGUGAGAUGGGAGAUUGAACCUUGAGUAGCCUAUAAACCAGUCAGAUUUUCUAGUUAACACAUCAAAAGUGUAUCUGUGUACACGAAGUACGAAGAAAACAGUUCAAAGAGGACAAUUAUGCAUGUAAAGUACUUGGCACAGUCAAGACACAUGGAAUGAAUCUCAUGAAAGACUCAAAGUGACCAUGUCAUUGACCAAGAUCUCUGCAGAUCUGGGAUUUAAUAAUUACCUCUUGCAUUCCAAAAGUAUAUCCUAUUAUGGUGCCUCUGUGGGUCCUUUACUUUGCAUUCACUAAGAAGUGAAAAGUCUUACCUAUCAAGGAUUUUAUUUUUUACCUGUACUAUAUGCAGCCUACAAUCAAGAGAGUGAUAUUCUUCCUAGAUCUUACUCUUUCUUAUUAAUUUUCUUUUUUUCUUUCUUAUUAAUUUUCAAUCGUUAAAGAACUUAAAGGACAUAGGGUAGGGGAGAGUGAAGAAUCUAAGGAGGCUCCACACUGGGCCAUCUUGAUUUCACAGCCCAAAUCAAGAGUUGGACAUUUAACCAACUGUGCCACC